UACGUAGGGUGCGAGCGUUGUCCGGAAUUACUGGGCGUAAAGCGCGUGUAGGCGGCCCUGCAAGUCGGAUGUGAAAUCCCACGGCUCAACCGUGGAAGUGCACUCGAAACUGCAGGGCUAGAGUCCUGGAGAGGAAGGUGGAAUGCUUGGUGUAGAGGUGAAAUUCGUAGAUAUCAAGCGGAACACCGGUGGCGAAGGCGGCCUUCUGGACAGUGACUGACGCUGAGACGCGAAAGCGUGGGGAGCAAACAGG
rnacentral:rRNA from 1 species